GAUGAACGCUGGCGGCGUGCCUAAUACAUGCAAGUAGAACGCUGAAGGAGGAGCUUGCUCUUCUGGAUGAGUUGCGAACGGGUGAGUAACGCGUAGGUAACCUGCCUGGUAGCGGGGGAUAACUAUUGGAAACGAUAGCUAAUACCGCAUGACAACAGUUAUUGCAUGAUAACUGUUUAAAAGGGGCAACUGCUCCACUACCAGAUGGACCUGCGUUGUAUUAGCUAGUUGGUGAGGUAACGGCUCACCAAGGCGACGAUACAUAGCCGACCUGAGAGGGGGAUCGGCCACCCUGGGACUGGGACCCGGCCCAGACGCCUACGGGAGGCAGCGGUGGGGAAUUUUCGGAAAUGGACGGAAGUCUGACCGAGCAACGCCGGGUGAGUGAAGAAGGUUUUCGGAACGUAAAGCUCUGUUGUAAGGGAAGAACGGGUGUGGGAGGGGAAAGUUCAAACUGGGGCGGUAUUGUACCAGAAAGGGACGGCUAACUACGG
rnacentral:rRNA from 1 species